GAGUUUGAUCCUGGCUCAGAACGUACGCUGGCGGCACGCCUAACACAUGCAAGUCGAACGAAGUAGCAAUACUUAGUGGCAGACGGGUGAGUAACAUGUGGGUAUCUGCCCUUUGGCCUGGAAUAACACGAGGAAACUUGUGCUAAUACCGGAUAAGUCUUUACGGAGAAAGCUUUAUGCACCAUUGGAUGAGCCUGCACUUGAUUAGUUUGUUGGUGGGGUAAUGGCCUACCAAGACUGUGAUCAAUAGCUGAUUUGAGAGGAUGAUCAGCCACAUUGGGACUGAGACACGGCCCAAACUCCUACGGGAGGCAGCAGUGGGGAAUCUUGCACAAUGGAGGAAACUCUGAUGCAGCGAUGCCGCGUGAGUGAAGAAGGCCCUUGGGUUGUAAAGCUCUUUCGUCGGGGAAGAAAAUGACUGUACCCGAAUAAGAAGGUCCGGCUAACUUCGUGCCAGCAGCCGCGGUAAUACGAAGGGACCUAGCGUAGUUCGGAAUUACUGGGCUUAUAGAGUUCGUAGGUGGUUGAAAAAGUUAGUGGUGAAAUCCCAGAGCUUAACUCUGGAACUGCCAUUAAAACUUUUCAGCUAGAGUAUGAUAGAGGAAAGCAGAAUUUCUAGUGUAGAGGUGAGAUUCGUAGAUAUUAGAAAGAAUACCAAUUGCGAAGGCAGCUUUCUGGAUCAUUACUGACACUGAGGAACGAAAGCAUGGGUAGCGAAGAGGAUUAGAUACCCUCGUAGUCCAUGCCGUAAACGAUGUGUGUUAGACGUUGGAAAUUUAUUUUCAGUGUCGCAGGGAAACCGAUAAACACACCGCCUGGGGAGUACGACCGCAAGGUUAAAACUCAAAUGAAUUGACGGGGACCCGCACAAGUAGUGGAGCAUGUGGUUUAAUUCGAAGAUACGCGCAGAACCUUACCAACACUUGACAUGUUCGUCGCGACUCUAAGAGAUUAGAGUUUUCGGUUCGGCCGGACGAAACACAGGUGCUGCAUGGCUGUCGUCAGCUCGUGUCGUGAGAUGUUGGGUUAAGUCCCGCAACGAGCGCAACCCUCACUUUUAGUUGCCAUCAUUAAGUUGGGCACUCUGAAAGAACUGCCAGUGAUAAGCUGGAGGAAGGUGGGGAUGACGUCAAGUCCUCAUGGCCCUUACGUGUUGGGCUACACACGUGCUACAAUGGUAUCUACAACAGGAAGCAAGACUGCGAAGUUAAGCAAAUCCCUAAAAGAUACCUCAGUUCGGAUUGCACUCUGCAACUCGAGUGCAUGAAGCUGGAGUUACUAGUAAUCGUGGAUCAGCGUGCCACGGUGAAUGCGUUCCCGGGUCUUGUACACACCGCCCGUCACACCAUGGGAGUUGGUUCUACCUUAAGGCAAGGUUUCAAACCCUUGACCACGGUAUAGUCAGCGACUGGGGUGAAGUCGUAACAAGGUAACC
rnacentral:rRNA from 1 species